rnacentral:rRNA from 1 species
GACGAACGCGGCGGCGUGCCUCAUACAUGCAAGUAGAACGCUGAAGAGAGGAGCUUGCUCUUCUGGAUGAGUUGCGAACGGGUGAGUAACGCGUAGGUAACCUGCCUUGUAGCGGGGGAUAACUAUUGGAAACGAUAGCUAAUACCGCAUAACAAUGAGUGACACAUGUCAUUUAUUUGAAAGGGGCAAUUGCUCCACUACAAGAUGGACUUGCGUUGUAUUAGCUAGUAGGUGAGGUAACGGCUCACCUAGGCGACGAUACAUAGCCGACCUGAGAGGGUGAUCGGCCACACUGGGACUGAGACACGGCCCAGACUCCUACGGGAGGCAGCAGUAGGGAAUCUUCGGCAAUGGGGGCAACCCUGACCGAGCAACGCCGCGUGAGUGAAGAAGGUUUUCGGAUCGUAAAGCUCUGUUGUAAGUCAAGAACGAGUGUGAGAGUGGAAAGUUCACACUGUGACGGUAGCUUACCAGAAAGGGACGGCUAACUACGUGCCAGCAGCCGCGGUAAUACGUAGGUCCCGAGCGUUGUCCGGAUUUAUUGGGCGUAAAGCGAGCGCAGGCGGUUUGAUAAGUCUGAAGUUAAAGGCUGUGGCUCAACCAUAGUUCGCUUUGGAAACUGUCAAACUUGAGUGCAGAAGGGGAGAGUGGAAUUCCAUGUGUAGCGGUGAAAUGCGUAGAUAUAUGGAGGAACACCGGUGGCGAAAGCGGCUCUCUGGUCUGUAACUGACGCUGAGGCUCGAAAGCGUGGGGAGCGAACAGG